GAUGAACGCUGGCGGCGUGCCUAAUACAUGCAAGUCGAGCGAACAGAUAAGGAGCUUGCUCCUUUGACGUUAGCGGCGGACGGGUGAGUAACACGUGGAUAACCUACCUAUAAGACUGGGAUAACUUCGGGAAACCGGAGCUAAUACCGGAUAACAUAUUGAACCGCAUGGUUCAAUAGUGAAAGGCGGCUUUGCUGUCACUUAUAGAUGGAUCCGCGCCGUAUUAGCUAGUUGGUAAGGUAACGGCUUACCAAGGCAACGAUAGGUAGCCGACCUGAGAGGGUGAUCGGCCACACUGGAACUGAGACACGGUCCAGACUCCUACGGGAGGCAGCAGUAGGGAAUCUUCCGCAAUGGGCGAAAGCCUGACGGAGCAACGCCGCGUGAGUGAUGAAGGUCUUCGGAUCGUAAAACUCUGUUAUCAGGGAAGAACAAAUGUGUAAGUAACUGUGCACAUCUUGACGGUACCUGAUCAGAAAGCCACGGCUAACUACGUGCCAGCAGCCGCGGUAAUACGUAGGUGGCAAGCGUUAUCCGGAAUUAUUGGGCGUAAAGCGCGCGUAGGCGGUUUUUUAAGUCUGAUGUGAAAGCCCACGGCUCAACCGUGGAGGGUCAUUGGAAACUGGAAAACUUGAGUGCAGAAGAGGAAAGUGGAAUUCCAUGUGUAGCGGUGAAAUGCGCAGAGAUAUGGAGGAACACCAGUGGCGAAGGCGACUUUCUGGUCUGUAACUGACGCUGAUGUGCGAAAGCGUGGGGAUCAAACAGG
rnacentral:rRNA from 1 species